AUACGGAGGGGGCUAGCGUUGUUCGGAAUUACUGGGCGUAAAGCGCGCGUAGGCGGUUUGCCAAGUCAGGCGUGAAAUCCCCGGGCUCAACCUGGGAACUGCGUUUGAUACUGGCAGACUAGAGGCCGGGAGAGGGUAGUGGAAUUCCCAGUGUAGAGGUGAAAUUCGUAGAUAUUGGGAAGAACACCGGUGGCGAAGGCGGCUACCUGGACCGGUUCUGACGCUGAGGUGCGAAAGCGUGGGGAGCAAACAGGAGUAGAUACCCUAGUAGUCC
rnacentral:rRNA from 1 species